rnacentral:rRNA from 1 species
UACCAGCUCUCCGAGUGGUGUGGAUGUUUAUUGGGCCUAAAGCAUCCGUAGCUGGCUGGGCAAGUCCCCUGUUAAAUCCACCGAUUUAAUCGUUGGUGUGCGGGGGAUACUGUUCGGCUAGGGGACGGGAGAGGCCGACGGUAUUUUCGGGGUAGGGGUGAAAUCCUAUAAUCCCGGGAAGACCACCAGUGGCGAAGGCUGUCGGCUAGAACGCGCCCGACGGUGAGGGAUGAAAGCUGGGGGAGCGAACCGGAUUAGAUACCCGGGUAGUCCCAGCUGUAAACGAUGCAGGCUAGGUGUUUGGGCGGCCACGUGCCGCUCUAGUGCCGCAGAGAAGUCGUUAAGCCUGCCGCCGUGGGGAGUACGGCCGCAAGGCUAGAAACUUAAAGGAAGUUGGCGGGGAGCACCACGAAGGGGUGAAGCUUGGCGGUUU